GGACGAGUUGCAGAGGCCCCUGAAGGAAAAGGAGAAGGAAGGGCAUUUGCAGAGGGAAAGGCUGUCCCGCUGGCCUUAGGUGUUGCUGAACGGGAGGGGUGGCCAAUGCUUUCUCUUUCCGCUGACUCACGGAGGGUGGCAAAUGCCUUCUGGGGGUGGUUCCAGCAGUGGGAAGAAAACAACUGGCAGCGGAGGGGUGAACCUCUUUGGGCUGCUGAGCUGUGUGCUGAACCAUAAGGAAGGUGGCUGUAAUGGUGUGCCGUGCAGAUGUCGUGUGCCCAGCAGUCGGGCCGAUGAAGAGCAACAAAUGAAGCGCCAGUCUCUCUCGUCGUGUAGAUCUGAGGAUGACCAAAGCCUGUCGCCCCAAGCAUUGCUGAACCCAUCAAAAUGGUUGCUCAGAGGCCUGCUGGUGCUGGAAGUGGACGGUAUCCCAGCAUGACUGAAGGAGCAGCUGCUGAUGGGAGGCAGGAAGUCCAGGCUCAUGAACACUGAGGCAUCUGCCAGUACGGUACCAGAGGAGGCAGUAGUGACGUUGGGGGGCAGUUGCAGAAGAAGAUGAGGAGCUCCCCAGCAGGAAGCCACAAACCCGGCAGAAACCUGCAGGAGAAUCGCAGCAUGUGUGGGUGCCCAGGAGGAAAUGCAGCCCCAGCGUCUGAGCAGCGCCUGGCCAUGGAGUGCUGCGACCCAAGAACAGAGCUAUUCUGCCCUUGCCGAGAUGGCCUCACUGACCCCAUUGACUUCUUUGACUCAGUGACCCCAGUGACCUCACAUGAACUCCAUAACUCCACUGACCCCAAUGAUCCCACAUGGCCCCAUUGACCCCAAUGACCCCGCAUGCCCCCACUGACCCCACCGAUCCCAAAGAUCCUAAUGAUACCCAUGACCCCAUAUGACCCCAACAGCCCAUUGACCCCACUGACCCCAUUAAUCCCAAUGACCCCACUGACUCCAAUAACCCCCACUGACCCCAUUAAAUCUAUUGACUUCAAUGACCCCACUGACGCCAAAAACCCCAUUGACUCCAAUAACACCCAAUGACCCCAUUAACUCUACUGACUUCAAUGACUACAUUGACGCCAAUGACCGCAUUAACCCCAAUGACUCCCACUGAACCCAAUGACCCCUAUUGCCCCAUUGACCCUAAUGACCCCACUGUCUCCAAUGAACCCAAUCUGGAGGGAGUCUGGGGGAAACGUCUCCUGCUUCCAAUCAUGCAGCGCCCGAGCGAGAGGGUGACCCAGCCUGGCUACACCAGAAUCGUGUUAAUUUCUCUGUUCUGUUGCUUCACAGAACCCCCUUGGCUGAGCCUCCUGCUGGUUUCUUAACAUUUGGUCCCAGUCUUGGGGACUGAAGCCACAGCCUGAAAGGCUGCAACCAGUCCAGGGACGUAAAGCCACAGCCCCAGCUAGAGAGGCCAGAGCCAGCCAAGGGCCUAAGUCCACAGACACAGCCGGGGAGCCCAGCACUGGCCCUGGCACUUAAAGCCACAGCCGGAGAGGCUGACAUCAGCCCUGGCACUCAAAGCCCCAACCAGAGAUGCUGGCACAGGCCCUGGGAUUCGUUUCCUAAGGGUUCCCCUGAGAAUCCAUUGACCAAUUUGAAGCCAUACUGGACUUGACUGGUUUUUAUUGGGCAGCACAAGAGUCAUCUUCACUUCUCCAUUACUUCAGAUAACCCCAUUGGGUGACCCUGGUGUUGGUUUCCUAAGACGUGGGUCUGGGAUGCGUCCAUUCCAGGAUGGAAGCACUCGCUGAGGUCACAAUCAGUGCUGGAGUGGGAGCGUUUGUGCCACAGCCGGAGAGCAGAGCUGGUGCUCUGGGUUCCUGUCCCAAGGGAGAUUUGUGGAUCAGGGUGGUCUUAGGAAGAGGGAAGUUCCUGUGGAGAGAGGCCUGGGAACUUCAGCUUCCUCUGAGCCUUCAGCGGCCAUGUCUCAACAAGGAGACGACCGUGGUUCCAAUUCAUGCCGUGUCAGUGGCAAGAAGCGGCGCAGCGCGGUUCCCCGCGGUUGGGAGCAGCAGCCAGCAGGCUGCCAGAGAUCCAUCCACACCUUGCAGCGCACAGAGGGACGCGACAGGGACGGACCUUCCUUCCUGCCAUGCAAAAGGACGGAGCCUGAGUGUCCAUGGAGUGGUGCUGGGUAUGGGGGGAAACGGAAAGCCUGCGCAGAAGCUGACACGAGCGGCCUUCCAGCAAAGCGCAGCCUUGCAGAAAGGCAAGGCAGAAGCGCCCAGUGUGGCACAGCACCAAAGAGAGAGAUUGGUGCUGAGGCAAAUGGCAGUAUCUACGUGAAAGUGAUGCAGCAGAUCCGCACUGAGAGAUCUUGUCAACAAGCAGCAGCUCAAGCUCCUCACCAGGCUGGAGGACUUCCUAGAAGAGCAGGUCCCAGCACAGGGGGAAGACCUUCCCCUGCCGCGUGCCCCCGCUCUGUCUCCAACACCCUGGCUGGAUGCAAACGCAAGGGCUUGGAGGAAGAAGAGAAACCAACAGCAGCACAGCAGCCUGCCAAUAAGAGAGUGAGGGGGCAGAGAGGAGACAGCGUGCCGGCUCCAGCAGCACACCCUGGGCCUGCUGCAGCGCGGAGCUCCAAGCAAAGAGCAAGAAGACGGCGACAAAAAGAGAGGAGGGUGGAGCUGAAGAAGGCUGCCCUCAGAGCUGCUGCUGCACAUGCAGAGGCCUCCGCAGUGAACAGCCUCGUGGAGAUGAUGCAGAAGCUGCAGCUGAAGGACUGAGAGGAGGAGCGUCAGCAGGCAGCGGCUGCAGUGCGCGGCGUUACAGGGCAGUGCUGAGUGCCGCCCAUCUCAGCCCUCCACCUUCACACGUAGUCAAUAAAAACCAGUCACAAUGAGUC
ensembl:lncRNA